AUUGAACGCUGGCGGCAGGCUUAACACAUGCAAGUCGAACGAGUGGCGGACGGGUGAGUUAUGCUUGGGAAUCUAGCUUAUGGAGGGGGAUAACUACGGGAAACUGUAGCUAAUACCGCGUACCAUAGGAUGAGCCCAAGUGGGAUUAGGUAGUUGGUGAGGUAAAGGCUCACCAAGCCGACGAUCUCGAGCUGGUCUGAGAGGAUGACCAGCCACACGGGGACUGAGACACGGCCCAGACUCCUGCGGGAGGCAGCAGUGGGGAAUAUUGGGCAAUGGGGGCAACCUGACGCAGCCAUGCCGCGUGAAUGAAGAAGGCCUUCGGGUUGUAAAGUUCUUUCGGUAGCGAGGCGUUAACUACAGAAGAAGCACCGGCUAACUCCGUGCCAGCAGCCGCGGUAAUAC
rnacentral:rRNA from 1 species